rnacentral:lncRNA from 1 species
AAAGGCUCACGGGCUCAGGCCUGCUGCAUGAGAUCUUCCCUGCAGGUGCCUUUACAACAGAGGUCCCAGGGCUGAGGUCGGGGGUGUCAGCCUGCCUGUGGGGCUGCACGGGCGGGGGGGGGGUACCAGAGCCGGUACGAACCCAGACAGCUUGCUUCUGAUCCGUGUGAGGCCGGGUCCUCUUUGGGUAACUGAGCAGGUUGUGAGGGCUGGCGCCAGAGUGCUCUUUUUCUGAGUUACGGCAGAAAGAGCUAUUCACGAGGGCUGUGGUAGCAGGGAGCAGGCAGUUCAGGCAAGCUUAGGUCGGGGCAGGGACUGUCCUAAGGCCACCUCGUGGCAAGGAUGGAGGGUGACCGCCAGGCCUCGGAGAGGAGCUAGAAAACAGCGUCGGGCCCUGCAGAGCGUCGACCUUUAGGCUUCAGGCCUCUGCAUGUCUGUUCAGGCUUUGCUCCCUACAAACCAGCUUUCUCUCCUCAGCCACGCGGUGAGGACAGCUCCUGUUCUGUUCCCCUGUGAGGCAGAGUCUGGGAACCACUGGGUUGAGUGGCACUGUGGCCUAUGGCUGGAGCAGGAGUGGAGGAUGAAGCAAACCCGGCACACAGGCCAGCCAUGGGCUCAGCACAGCGGGGGCCCUGAACCACAGCCUUGAGGCUCCCAGGCCAAAGCCACACCUCCAGGGGUCCAUGAGGGUGUGGAUCUGAGGGCGGGGUGACAAGAAAGGCCUGGAGCAGGACAUGCUUCUGGGCUCCUGGUGCGCCCCCCUAUUUAGUGUCCUGCCUGGACCCGCUGGCUCCUCAUAGGGGCUCAUGGUCCGUGGGUGGGCUCCAGCUUGGGCUGCCCGGAGCACCAGAGGCUCCUGGGGACGGGGAUGUUGCACCAUUUACCGCGUGAGGACAGGUGAUCCUGGCCCUGCUCACGAGGGGCUCUGGCUCUGCGUAGCUCGGUGGUGGCUGCUGCCUACGACCGUCUAGGUGAGGGCGUGGAAUUGGAUCCCAGGCUGAUGAGAUGCAGGACUGGCAGAGGCAGGGGAGGGGCCCCCUGUGAUGGGCACCAGGACCGCACUGUGCUCACCCGUGGGGCUGCCCACAGCUAGAGAAGGGAGAAGGGGACUCCUGGGAGCCAGUGCGUGGCAGCUACAAGAGACGGAGCUGCAGAGGUCUUGCCACAGCCCCUGCACAGAGGGUCCACGGGUCUGCAAGCCAGUGAUUGGAAAGAACCAUCUGGAGUAAGUUGUUAGUGUAGGAAGCCCCGGAUCUGCACCCUCUCCUUGCAGGAUGGUCAGGAAGCAGUGCGGAGUUCCUGGAGGAAGUACAGCGAUUAGUCCUCCACAGGGGAUGAGCGGCGGCAAGGACAGUGUCCCCCACACACCCAGGACGGUGUCCCCAGAUGCCCAGGACAGUGGUCCCAUAGUCCAUCACCACCCCUAUUAUGUCCCUGUUCAAGUGUCUGGACCCUAAGAAGACCAGGGGGGUUUGGGCAGGUGAUAGCCCUCAGGCUCCCUGGGAGGAGACCAGUCGUGCCGCCACUUUGCCCACGCACACCCUCUUGACCCCAGGCACUCUGCUCUCCAGCGCUGGGCUGUUUUCUUCUCCCACAGCUUGCCUGUGUGAGGUGGCCACACGGUCCGUGAGAAGCAUAGGCAGAUACCCCUGCCUGCUGCCACAGCCAGCGUCACAACAGGCAUCCUCAGGGCCGCCUGUCCCAGGCCAGGCAGAUGCAGCUAAAACCCAUUGUGGCUGCAAGUGGCACGUUCAGGGUUGGGGCCAAGCAGGUUCACAGGAGCACAUGAGUUACAUGCUCUGGGGUGCGUGAGAGGCGAGGGUCCCACUUGGGCUGCUCCACAUGCUUCAAAAUUGUUGCAGACAAGCCUCUCAGCCUCUUCAGUUUCACAAGAAUGGGUCAUUCCUCAGGGUGGGGUGGGGGCUGUCGGGAACCUUGCCCACUAGCAGACACUUCUGUGCCCCUGCCUGGCUCCAAAUCUCAGUUCCUGGGUCACUACAGCAUAUCCCUGGGCCCUUCUCUACCACAGCUGCUGGGCUCAGCCGUGCCUGCUGGCCACCUGGAGGCCGGGUCCCUCAUCCAGAAAAUCCCGCAGACACAAAUGGCAGAAGCUGCUCUGUGAUUCUCUGAUUCCUGAGAGAAUCAAGUCAUUUCAGAAGUCUGCCCUGCGCCUACUCUCUUGCAACAGCAAAGACUGUGUGGCUGAAAGGUUCCAGUGAGACGUUACGGCACGACACGUGGGAGGGAUGUGCAGAGGUGAGCAAAGAAAGCCACGCUGAUGUGUGUGGGAGUGAGAAACUGCCACUUCCCUCCGUGCACCUGGCCACGCACUGCUGCCAGUCUUUUCCGUAAGACCCAGAAGGAAGUCUGUUACCUUCCUCAGCAAGCAUAUCCUUGAGAGGACCCUACGCCAUUGUAGGGAGAAAGGCCUGGGACAUACGUGGGGGGGGGGGGUGCACAGGAGCCCCUGUGAUGGGGACAUAGCUGUAGACAGGCCAGCAUGGAGCUGGACCAGAGGGCAGAGCCCAUCCACACAAUGAUUCAGCCCCCAUGAGCACCCAGGUGGCCCUGGCGUGAGCAACACUCGGCCACAUCAAGCACUAGCCUCUCUCUUGAGAAAAUGUUUUAUUUUCAGACUCUUAGGUCCUUUUAAAAGUUCUGAAUUGUGUUAAAAUUAAAAUGACAUCUGAGUCAUCAAAAACCUUCCAAUACACAGAAGUCCAGGACCAGAUGGCAUCACUGGUGAAUUUGAGCAAACAUCCAAAGAAGAAUUCAUACCAGUCCUUCUCAAACUCUUCCAAAAGAGAGAAGAGGGAGUUUUCCAAACUUACCUUACAAGGGCAUCACUACUCCGACGCCAGAAGCAGAGAAAGAUGCCAAGAGAGGAGUUCCUUCUACAGUGCAGCGGACUAAGGGUCCGACUGCAGCGGCUUGGGUCACUGCAGCGACGCGGGGCAGCCCAGCGCAGUGAAUUAAGGAUUCACAGCAGUGGUGUGGAUUUGAUCCCUGGCACUUCCAGGGAACCUCCACAUGGCGUGGAUG